UCUUCCUAUCUGUUGCAACCAUGACAAGCCACUACCUUACCAUCGACAGUUGAUAGGGCAGAAAUUUGAAUGAAACAUCGCCGGCGAAAAGUCCAAUGUCAUGUGUGUACACGACCAUAGCUGU